GAUCUGGCUCAGGAUGAACGCUAGCUACAGGCUUAACACAUGCAAGUCGAGGGGCAGCAUUUUAGUUUGCUUGCAAACUAAAGAUGGCGACCGGCGCACGGGUGAGUAACACGUAUCCAACCUGCCGAUAACUCGGGGAUAGCCUUUCGAAAGAAAGAUUAAUAUCCGAUGGUAUAUUUUCUCCGCAUGGUGAGAAUAUUAAAGAAUUUCGGUUAUCGAUGGGGAUGCGUUCCAUUAGUUUGUUGGCGGGG
rnacentral:rRNA from 1 species